rnacentral:rRNA from 1 species
UAUUACUAAGCGGAGGAAAAGAAACUAACAAGGAUUCCCUCAGUAACGGCGAGUGAAGCGGGAAAAGCCCAGCGCUGAAUCGCGAUGCUUCUAGUAUCCGCGAAAUGUAGCGUUUAGGUGAAUCGUCGGGGCGGUUGAUCGUUGCCCAAGUCCUCCUGAACGGGGCUUUACCCAUGGCGGGUGUCAGGCCUCUGGAGGCGUCGAUCUCCGUCUCCCCGGUCUACCUCGGAGUCGGGUUGUUUGAGAAUGCAGCCCAAAGCGGGUGGUAAACUCCAUCUAAGGCUAAAUACUUGCACGAGUCCGAUAGCCAACAAGUACCGUGAGGGAAAGUUGAAAAGAACUUUGAAGAGAGAGUUCAAUAGUACGUGAAACCGUUUAUAGGUAAACAGUAGGAGUCGUAAAGUGGCCCGGAUAGAUUCAACCUUUCGAGCGUUGGCUUUGGCGGAGUGGUUCAUCAGAUGCUGUUCAAAUCACAAUCGCACUGGCUCCGUCAAUUGACUCCGUCGUCGAUUGGCGCACUUCUUUCCGGGCAGCGUCACGACCGAUUUAUCGCUGGUCAAAAGCCGUGUCGGAAGGUGCCUCUCGCUUCGCGGCGGGAGAGUUAUAGCCGGUACGCGCGUCGUCCAGCGAAAGAUCGAGGAAUGGCCGUACCCGCUUCAUUUCGCGCAAGCGCGGGCACUCGUUCCCCGUGCGCCGUUCGACUGGGCUGGACUGUAUACAGUGCUGUCCGACAGCGGUGUGCGCGGCGAUUCGAACUCGCUCCCGCGUGGUACACAAGGUCGGUGACGAGUGGUCGGCAAUCUUACUGACCCGUCUUGAAACACGGACCAAGGAGUCUAACAUGUAUGCGAGUUGUAGGGCGGUACUAAACCCGAAGGCGCAAUGAAAGUAAAGGUCGGUCCUGGUAUCGACUAAGGCGAGAUCUAGCGGCCCCGAGUCGCUAGCGCAUCGCCGGCCCGUCUUAAUCUCGACGUAGAUGAGGCGGAGCACGAGCAUACACGUUGGGACCCGAAAGAUGGUGAACUAUGCUUGAGUAGGACGAAGCCAGAGGAAACUCUGGUGGAGGUCCGUAGCGAUUCUGACGUGCAAAUCGAUCGUCAAACUUGAGUAUAGGGGCGAAAGACUAAUCGAACCAUCUAGUAGCUGUUCCUC